UUAAUUGAAACCAAAUUAGAGGUAAAUCAUUGUUAAUGAUUAAAAUGAUUAAUAAAAAUUAUCCAAUUAAA
rnacentral:tRNA from 1 species